AACUUCUUUCAAUGGAUUAGAACAAUUCCAACUCAACUCACCAGGGAUCAUCGAUCAUCAAGAUAGUCCCUUUGAGUCUCACCAUCCACCAGUGACACCUAGCAGCAUGUAGUGGCUACCCAGCAGAAUGGAAUGAUGAACCUCUAGGUGCAGUUAUCGUAUGAUACAGUCCUUCUAUCAUGGAUCCCUACAGAACGGAGGUCAUGGAUAACUCGUCAAACCCCAUCGUCUGUCAUAUGUCAAGAUUUAUUCGACUUAAGUUCGAGAGUGAAAAACUCUUUUUUCACUGUAUGUACUGCCCCGGCCGAGGUCUUACGAACUUAGUCUUAUAAAUCACAUAGGAUCUCUCCUUAUCUAUCAAGGUCGAUAGAUUCCUUGUAGGCGUAUACCCUACUCCUACAGUGAACCUACUGCAGCCAAUCUACACUACAUGGACCCAUAUGGCUAGAGACCAUGUAUGCGUGCAGUCAAACUACAGCAACUUCACUGUGAAUAGCCGAAGCACCGCAGGUCAAAGGACUAGUCACACUACUGCAACAUCAAGCAAGUCACUGACGAGUGGAUAGACAUCCAAGUGACUUCUUGUCUUGGUCACGCUCAGUACCCUUGUUCUCUAACAAGCACCUGCACUAUCACUUCAGUGUCCCUACACUGUGGACUCGAGUCUCGUCCAUCCAUAAGGAAAGCGAUCUGUGCACUGAUCUUAUCGGAUCGAUCACCGUCCUCGUGAUGAUCCAUUGAUCAGGAGCAUUUAGAAAUUAAUCACCAAUGAUACAUGGCUCAAAUUCUCAACUCUUGAGAAUAUGUAUCAUCAUCUUAUUAAUUCCUUGGACGAUUCAUAGACACAUAAACAAUAUGAAUGAAAAGAAUGCCCAUUUAUUAAUCAAUAAUAAUAAAGUCAAGUACAAAAUUAUGUCCCAGAAUU
rnacentral:lncRNA from 1 species